UGACCACUAUAACGGCGAGCCGUUGAUUUUCUACGAUUUGUUGAAGCUAUGACGAUAAUUUAAAUUGUUUCCAUCGCCACUGUACUUAUUAACAGUAUCGGUUUAUUUUUCCACGAACAAGUAAUCGCGGUAUUAUUUAGUUAUUACCUAUAGUUUGUUUUUUUUAUUCAAUACAUUUCAAUUAUUAUUUUUAGUAGUGGCAAUGCAAACGAUUUGUGUAAACAUCAAAAUAUCGUGGCAAACCAUUAUUAGGUAUAGUAAACAUUUGUAACGCCGACAUUUUGUUUCGGAAUGAACGUAUAAAAUGGUCAUCUUUGAUUUCGUUUACACACACACACACACACCCCGAAAUAAAACAAGAACUUUAGCGCCAGUCGGUUCUAGUAACUCGGCGACGCAUCAACAGUGUAAACCGUUUAUUUAAUUAAUAAACCGUGCCGAUUGUAAGACUGUCGAAACUAUCUCACCAUAAUGGGACACACUGACAUAUUGUUAUGUUUCGUUUUGUUGUUUGGGAUUUCGCGUGAAAACUGCUCGUAGGCAUAUUCCGGGACAGAAUAUUGAUGGCCAAACGGAAAACACGAGCAUCGCCGUUUCCGUCGGAAAUACGCAGAUAUAUUGUGCACGGUGUAGGUAAAUUUCGGAGUCUUUGACAUAAUACGUCGCCGACGAUGAGCAUU